AAAGACUGCAGUUUUGCACUGUACAUGUCCAACAUUUAACCGUCCAUCUUAUUUGAAAAAAAUUUAUAAUUAGUAUUUUUAUUGUUAUUAGAUGAUAAAACAUGAAUAGUAAUUUAUGUUUGACUAUUUUUUUAAAAAUUUUUUAUGAACUUUUUAAAUAAGACGGACAGUAAAACGUAAAUAAACAACUACAUUUAAA
rfam:Oryza rufipogon genomic scaffold, chr02